CAGUCGCCGCGGGAAUACGAAGGGGGCUAGCGUUGCUCGGAAUGACUGGGCGUAAAGGGCGCGUAGGCGGCGGCCAAAGUCAGGCGUGAAAUUCCCGGGCUCAACCUGGGGGCUGCGUUUGAUACUUGGUUGCUUGAGUGGGGAAGAGGGUCGUGGAAUUCCCAGUGUAGAGGUGAAAUUCGUAGAUAUUGGGAAGAACACCGGUGGCGAAGGCGGCGACCUGGUCCUUUACUGACGCUGAGGCGCGAAAGCGUGGGGAGCAAACAGGAUUAGAUACCCCAGUAGUCCCUGUCUCUUAUAC
rnacentral:rRNA from 1 species